AGGUAGCGAAAUUCCUUGUCGGGUAAGUUCCGACCCGCACGAAAGGCGUAAUGAUCUGGACACUGUCUCAACAAUAGGCUCGGUGAAAUUGUAGUACCGGUAAAGAUGCCGGUUACCCGCAGCAGGACGGAAAGACCCCGUGGAGCUUCACUGUAGCUUGAUAUUGAGUUUCGGCGUUGCAUGUACAGGAUAGGUGGGAGACUAUGAGACGGGUACGCCAGUAUCCGUGGAGUCACCGUUGGGAUACCACCCUUGUAACGUUGGAAUUCUAACCGAGUAUCGUAAUCCGGUACCGGGACAGUGUCAGGUGGGCAGUUUGACUGGGGCGGUCGCCUCCUAAAGAGUAACGGAGGCGCCCAAAGGUUCCCUCAGCGCGGACGGAAAUCGCGCGAAGAGUGCAAAGGCAAAAGGGAGCUUGACUGCGAGACAUACAGGUCGAGCAGGGACGAAAGUCGGGCUUAGUGAUCCGGUGGUACCGCGUGGAAGGGCCAUCGCUCAACGGAUAAAAGCUACCCCGGGGAUAACAGGCUUAUACCCCCCAAGAGUUCACAUCGACGGGGGUGUUUGGCACCUCGAUGUCGGCUCGUCUCAUCCUGGGGCUGAAGUAGGUCCCAAGGGUUGGGCUGUUCGCCCAUUAAAGAGGUACGCGAGCUGGGUUCAGAACGUCGUGAGACAGUUCGGUCCCUAUCCGCUGUGGGCGUUGGAAAUUUGAGAGGAGCUAUCCUUAGUACGAGAGGACCGGGAUGGACAUACCUCUGGUGCACCGGUUGUUCUGCCAAGGGCAUAGCCGGGUAGCUAAGUAUGGACGGGAUAAGCGCUGAAAGCAUCUAAGUGCGAAGCCCCCCUCAAGAUAAGAUUUCCCCCAGAAAUGGUAAGACCCGUGAGAGACUAUCACGUUGAUAGGCCAGAGGUGUAAGUGCAGUAAUGCAUUCAGCUGACUGGUACUAAUCGGUCGAGGACUUGACCAG
rnacentral:rRNA from 1 species